GCCAAACUGAGGGCGCUCUGACUUGCCAGCCAAGGACACUGUUAGAUUGGCAUGGCGUGACCAAAAAGGGGAGAGAUGAAUAAGAUGGGGUCUGCGAAGAGAAGCAUGCAAAUACGGGCGGGGGUCUGAGGAUGAGUGUAACAUUCCUUUUAUUGGACAAGCCGGUUAGGUUUCGCUUUCGUUUCCUACAUCUGAUCUCGUAAGUCCAGAGGCUCUGAAGUAACCUGGGAGCUCAGAUAUCAGACUCCUGGUCCCCGCCGCCUGCUUCAUACCCAAACGAAGGUCUAACUGCUCAGCCUAAUUUCCUGUCUGUCCAGAUUUACCAUGGGAAUUCACAGUCCAUCCAGAAAGGUCCCGACUCUAAACUCAGUUCAGGAUUUAAGUGGCGUGACGUUUGGGCACAAAUUCCCCAAACAUGGCCUGAAGCUUCUACACUGGCUGGCAAAUGAAUGGAUUGAGUUUGACGAUGAGAGACAGAUGAUGGCCAUGACAGAUCCCAGAACCAGAGAGUUUGGGUUCCACAUCUUCCACAACAAGGAAAACAUCCUACCACUGUUGUUUGGAGACCAGAGUUGGUACUUUGAGGUGGGGAACCUGCAUGCCGAUGGCGCUGAAGAUCUUCCCUUCAAUGAGGCCAACACAGGAAGUGAUAAAAGCAACACCGACCGAAUCAUUGUGCGAAUGGACUCAAGUCAGGUGGUUGGCGAGGUUUACAUCACAGAACACACCCCUCACCAUAACAGCUUCAGUUCUGAAUCUACAUACCGCAUCAGCAGAGGCCUGAUCCAGCAUUUACAAAACUUGGAGGAGAAUGUCUUCCUCCAGCGGGCUGGGUACAUCCCGAGAAAGAAUGAAUCUCCUAGAUCAGAGAGUAGGGAAACCACUGUUAAAAUCCUGAGAAAGAAUGAAUCUCCUAGAUCAGAGAGUAGGGAAACCACUGUUAAAAUCCCGAGAAAGAAUGAAUCUCCUAGAUCAGAGAGUAGAGAAACCACUGUUAAAAUAGAGGAUGAGGACUUCCCAAGGAGGAGUUCAUCCACUUGGGAUAGUGUUUGUAAUUGUGUUAUACUGUGAACGAGUGGCAGCUGGCAGCUAAAAAGAUCAUUAAGCCGGGAAGGGGGAGGGGUUGUGAAAUCUGAUGAACUCUGAAAUCAUUCAUUGGACCAAAACAAUAAGAAUAUUUUUAUCCUGAUUGUUGAUUGGUAAAGGUUUGGUGUGUCAUUUUAUGUGUUUUAGCCAAUAAGGGAUUAGCAGGGGGAAAAUAAUUAAAAAAAAAAAGGAUUACCUUGAUUUCUUUGGGGCGACCGGGGAGGACUCUUCCAUUCUGAGGAAGCUCAGCUUUUACCUCGUCUGACUCUCAGUGCCACAUCAGAGAAACUGACCAUUCCAUCUGGCCCUGAGGUGUCACUGUGUAUAAUAUAGCAAUAUAUUUUUACAAUAUUAGAGAGAGAAAAUGUGUUUUUAAAUGACAUUUCUGCUUCUCUUCUUGUAUAUGAAGUCUGCUUCCAUUAAAAAUGAUAUUUUAUGUCA